UUAGUACCGGUUCGUGGCAGCAACCGGGACUAAAGGGUUAGACCUUUAGUCCCGGUUCGUGCCACGAACCGGUACUAAUGGGGUUUGCGGCAUUAGUACCGGUUCAUGGCACGAACCCGCCCUCAUGGAGUACUAAAUCAAGAUGAGCCGAGAGAAGGUAAAAAUCUAAUUUUUCAGUGUUGUAGUAGCAGUGCCAAGUACUUGACUGAAAAAUAAACUUGUGGAUUGAGCAGCAUCUUUCACCAGGAGAAUCACAAGAUCACGCUUGUAAACUACUGAAUUAGGAGAUAAAGACUGAAAUUUAUGUUGAUAUUUGUACAUGAGACAGCUCCUAAUCCUGUGAUAAUCACUACUAGCUAGUACAGACCAUUGCUAGUUUGUACGGGACCAGCGUCAUGAGAGGAAUGGCAUACUACAGCGCCUUAUAGAGAGUACUAGAUUGUGGUACUGCACAAUUUUCGUUCUAGUUGAAAAUUGUAAAUCAUCAAAGGAGUGGCUGCCUUUGUAUCACAUCAGUAUUAAGGCAGCUCAUAGCACCAUCUGAACUUUUCUAUAUGUUUGGUCAUACUCAUUUACUUACUGUAAUGGUAAACAUCAAAGGAGUGGCUACCAUUGUGUCGCACGCACCAGUGUUAAAUGCUCGGACUGUGAGAAAUUUUAUUUCUUAUUAUACUUUCAUAUGUGAACUUAUACUUGUCAGCAUCCAUAUUAUUUGUAAGUGCCAGCCUCACUAGUCGCACACUAUGUAAUGCAACUUUGGCAAACUUAUAUGAAACUUUGAAGUAUAGUUGGCUUGGUAAAAGGGAAAUGCUAAAAUACAACUUCCAGACAUUGUUGAUGUAUGCCCCUGAACCUAAAAAUUGUAUAUUGAUGACAAUGAUUUGAGGUCUGAUUUUCCUAGUUUUUAGUUCAUCUAGAUCAGGAGCAAAGCUGAACAUUCAGGAACUAUAAGAGAUCUAAGCUUUGCUAUGGCUCUUUAUCAAGAUAUGGUUUUUACCUGUGUUCAGCAAUAGCUACUAUGUUGGUUCAAUCUGAAUUUAUUCUCCAUUAUAUUUCCUUCUUCCGAUCUUUAAUUCUCUUGUUAUCCAGUAAAAUAACAGUUUGUUCUCUAACUUGUCUAUCCAAUACAAAAACAUGAGUUACAUUCAAAGUACAGGGAACAUCAUUAGUGCAACAAAGAGGUUGCAGCAAAAAGUCGAGGUUAUCACUUGGAAAGAAGAAAUUGUAUAAUAUUCUUCCAAAUGAAGAAGAGUUCAUCUAGAUUUGGAGCAAAAUACAAGAUUCGUGAUCUAAAAGAGAUGUAAGAGCCCUUACUCUAGUAGAGAAAGCAUGGAGCGGUAGCAUGGCAGGCACAAGGAACAUCAUGAAGACAAAGACAGAGAGCUUUCAACAAUAACAUGAGGUUAUCUAUCAAGGCAAGAAACUGUACCAUAUUAUUUUGAAAUCAAAUAACUGAUUGAUACUGUAAUUUGAGCUUGACUUGCAAGAAACCUCUAAUGCAGCAAACCAGAAAAAUAGGGACUAGCCCGUGUGGCAUUUGUAUUAAGAAGGAAACACCCUAGGCACACAAGAAACCUCUAAUAACUUAUGUACUCAAGCUGUUGUAGAUAGUCCUGUCAUAUUAACCUAGAAGCGCAUGCUCAAGUUUUUAGUAUAAUUGAUUUUUUUCAGUUGUGUUUGUAUCAAAUUUUAUAUAGGGUUCUAGAACAAAUCACUCAAUUAUUUUGUCAAAUUCGUUAAGUUCAGUUGAAAAAAACAACAACUUAGGUAUUAUACCCAUGCUAAUGUGAGAAACUGAAAUAACAAAUAGGUUAUUGUAGCAAAACUUAAGAACAUUUUGAAAAAAAUAGGUAGUAUUCCUGAAACUGAGAUAACAAAUAGGUUAUUGUAGCAAAAUUGAAGAACAUCUUGAAGAAAUAGGUAUUAUUCCUGUUACUUGUUAUCUUACUGUAGCAAAUCAUUGACACUUGCACAUUUUACAAGUUCAAUCAUGUCCAGUGCAGGGUAUCCUUGGAGAACAUCUUGCAACCAAAGCUGUAGCAGAACCUUGUAGAAAAUGAGGUCUCGAAUUUUGAAUAUUUGGUUGAUGCACCAGUGCCUUUGGUCUCUGUUUUUGUUGACCAUUGAUCCCUGUAUAUAACUUCUAUGCAAUUUGAUCAGAAGUUAUGUGAAUUCGCAACUCUGUGAUUAAUGUAAACUAUUGAUGUGUCUAUGCUUUGAAUAUUUUGAGUGGAACAACCAUGUGGAAAACCAU